GGACGGUUCAGUAACGGUGGUUUUUGAUUUAUUCGUCUUAAAUCAUUCAGAGGGACGGAUUCCUCUUUCCGUCGGUGUUUAUCCUCCAAUAAAAAGGUCAGACUUCAACUCCCAACAUCAAUCCUUUUCGCUGACUCCUCUCUGUCACUUGAGCUUCCUCCGACAACAGAUUUCGAAGCCUCCUUUGGAUUCUGUAGAGGAGGUGCCCGCUAAAUAUUCAACGGAAAGCUCCGCGUCUGAUAAUGAAGGAGACAAGACUGAUUUGCCAACCAUCACGAAAAUAUUUUUUUCAGUAUGCGAAGUUGGUUAAUGGAACUUGGAUCAGAAACAGAUCGAGAGAGAAGGCGAAACAUAUUGGGAUUCGGUAGUAGUUGCUGGUUAGAUCCUCUGAAGCUCGAAUCUUUAUUUCAGAUCUUCACUCAUGUUCUGAAAUUUGUAGUAUUGUUUUGUUUCGAAGUAAUACUGUCUGAACAAAACGAUGUAGGACUAAAACUGGAUAACGUCAGUCAAGGCUAUGUUAUGAAGAAGCUUCUUGCAUUGCAAAGAUGAGUGACUGCUUGUGUAAUUGGAGGCCGAGUUAUAUAUGCUGGAAGUCUACGACAUCACUCACAAAUCUCGACUACUUUGAGGGAUUCAAAAUAUCAAGGACGGAUACACUCCUGCAACGUGUAUUAGACCUGAGAGUUUCUUCCACUGUCAUUACCGGAAUAUCGAUUUCUACUUCAGGAGAACUCAGGAGCUAAUCAAAGAGCUCAGUACUCCACCACCAGAAUCGGAAGUUCUCUACUUCCAAACUACGUACUCCCAGCCAUUUUUGAUAAUUUUUGUAUGAAGUGUGUGUGAGUGAUUGUAAGGUUGUUUUCGCAGAGUACUUAGAUCGGAAAGGCUGUUAAUGGUUUGAGGAAACAUGGCUCUGAUAAGAUUCGCCAACUUGCAAAGACUUUGAUUGGAGAGUGGAAGGAGCUGGUUGAUCAGUGGGUGAACACCACCAAACAAAUCGCUGGUGCUCAAGGUACACCAGAGUCUGCUAAUCCCUCUGUAGUUGAUGAAGAAGAAGAACAUGAGUUUCCAUCCUUCCGUACGUAUGGUCACAUCUCAAGUAGGAGACAGGGAUUUGAUAGUGCAGAUCGCUGGUGUCGGAGACAUGAGCCUUAAAAACGUUUGAAAGAUAGGUUCUGGUUCGAACAUGACUUCUUACCAUCUGUAGCUGACGUCCACAUAGGAUAGAUAGUGAUCUUUAUCUUUGCUUAUGAUAUCAAGUUUUUCAACGUACAUCCCUUUGUUUCUCCACCUUUGAAAUGAACUUCUUACAUUAAAAAUUACAUUCAAAACAUGCUUUUUGUGUGUAAUAAUGAAAUUUGUGGUCAGGUU